rnacentral:rRNA from 1 species
UACAGAGGUCUCAAGCGUUGUUCGGAUUCAUUGGGCGUAAAGGGUGCGUAGGUGGCGCCGUAAGUCGGGUGUGAAAUUUCGGAGCUUAACUCCGAAACUGCAUUCGAUACUGCGGUGCUUGAGGACUGGAGAGGAGACUGGAAUUCAUGGUGUAGCAGUGAAAAUGCGUAGAGAUCAUGAGGAAGACCAGUGGCGAAGGCGGGUCUCUGGACGAGUUCC